GCCGAGGUGGCACAGCCCGGUACUGCGCGAGCCUGGAAAGCUCGUGAGGAAUCGUCCUCUCAGGAGUUCAAAUCUCCUCCUCGGCG
rnacentral:tRNA from 1 species